GUUGCUCAAGCAACAGCUGCUCCCUACCACUGUUCGCACUCUCCGCAUCGGGGAACUUUCAACUCUGAAAUCUUCGGAUGUAAAGGGACUUGCACGCCUUACUUUUCUUGAAACUCUAGAAAUUAUUUGGUGUAAAAGUCUGGAAUUCCUGCCAGGAGAGGUACUUCAACACCUCACUUCUCUUCAACGGCUAUACAUUUAUGACUGUCCGAGUCUCCAAUUCCUGCCAGAAGAGGGUCUGCCGCCAUCUCUUUCUUAUCUGUGCAUCUCCAAGUGUCCUGCCCUGGAGAAAAGGUAUCAGAAUAAGACGGAACA
rnacentral:lncRNA from 1 species